rnacentral:tRNA from 1 species
GGGCAUAUAGCUCAGUUGGUAGAGUGCUUGCCUGUCAAGCACAAGGCCCUGGGUUCAAUCCCAGCACCA